UGUAUAAUAAUGGGUGGUAACGGUUUGGCCGGGGGCCCCCGCUCCGUGCGUGUGCGACCGGCUGCUGCAGUCUAUAUAAGGAAUUACAUUUACAUUUCAGACUGAAGGGUUGCCGUGGGGUGGGUUUGUGUUUGUUUUUUUUUUUUUCCCCUUUGGUACGUGGGUUACUUUAGGAUGCGUUUGGAAGGUACACGGCGGGGGGAAUAAACGCUCGUAACACCCACUCUGUACUUGUGUUCUGUAAAAUGGAGAAGUAGUUGGGUUCUCGUAGCGACUCUUCGCAAUAGGGUGUAAAGCAGGAGAUUUUGUAACCUUCCUUGGCAAUUUUAGGUUUUAUGUGGCAUUUCCUGUGCAGGGUCACAGAUAGGAAGGCUUUCGCUGGCGAUCCGAGGCGUUUUCCCCGAGACGCAGGGAACGGUCUCCGAAAUAGCUCCGAGUCACGAUCGGUGCCUCUCCUCUCUAAUCCUGACUGUGUCGGGCGUAACGUAGUGAUAAAUAACGGCCUCUCCAGGGGCCGGCGAGUUGAUCUGAUCGCUUUGAACUUAGGAGGGUUUUCUUAUUUUGCUCUGUGCUUUUUCUAGCGAGUAUUUCUAUUUGCACGCUCACGUUAUUAAUUCCUUGUCCUAGUGUAAAUAUUUAUAUUUAGUUCAUGAUUUGACUGUGCUAAAGGUAAGUUUGGAAAGUGCUUUACUCUUUACCUUAUUAAAAAUGUUGAUGAUCAGAGAAAGGGGCUUUUCUUGUUGCUGACGACAUGUGUGUGACAUGCGAGUCUGAACCACCCAGCGUGUGUGCAGGAGCUGUAAACAUGUUUACCUGAACAGGAAAGAAAAUGGAUUUUUCUCUUAAAGAUCCAGUGAUACGAGUACGAUACUCCUAAAGCAUAUCAACAGAUGACUUGAGAGAGAAAUUUUCUGAAACCCUAGCUUUUGAAAUCAACGGGGAAAGGAGAUUCUUGAUCGCUGCAGCAAAUGGCAACUUGUGCAGCUGCUGCCAGGCCUCACUGGGGCUGUUCUGGAUGGGAGUUCCACCUGUGGUGUGGCCCAUGUCUCUUGAAGAUCUCCUUUUAGCUGCACUUCACACACCAACUCUUCCUCAAUCUCAUGGAUUGAUUUUUCCUUAAAGGAAACCCCUUGAUCAAAAUGCGUACUUCAUGCAUACUACUUUUUCUCACUUCGUCUCCUCCAAUAAAGUCUGCCCCCUAAAGAAAAAAGAAACAACUGAGAGUGAUUUUUGAGACCGAUUAUACCACAGAGCUCCACAGAUGUUGCUCCCUUGAGAGCAGUAUUAAUUCACUUUACAUACAUUUCUAUUUUGCAGUUCAGAAUUGUUUCUAUGAUCAUAUGAGCUUUUUAUGGCACUGAAGACUGUAGCUGCUUAUGAGAGAAGCUGGUGAUAAAACAAAAGCUCAGUCAACAAUCUCUAACAGUGCAUAGUCUGUAGAUGAUGGCAACUAAAAUAUGUUCCAGGCUGGUUUCAUUAAGAGAGGAUCCGUGGAGUUUUUCUUUUUGCCUCUUUCCUUGCCCCAUGUGAUUGCUGUGGUUUACAGUAGGAAGCCACUAGUUUCUGCAGUCACAGGUGAGAAGGGAGGUAGUCGCUGGUAGGUCUUGCAAAGACAUUUGAGUAAAAAUAAGAAAGUGAGCUCUCUUAUGGGGGAAGGAGGUAGCUACGUAUUUUACAAAUCUUUCAACAACUGUGACUUAAUUGGCACUACUGAAAGCAGUAUGUUGCAUAUUAAUGCAGCUUAGGGAAGUUGCAUUUAUGAAUAUGAAUAAAAAAAAUCUAGAACUAUUCUCAUCUUUUAUGUGCUUUUUUUAUAAUCACAUGUCAUACUGAGGAAGGGUAUUGCUGCCUUGGACCAGCUUGGUCUGGCAUGGCUACAGUGUUGUGUUAUGGCUGGUUUUGAGGACA